rnacentral:rRNA from 1 species
UGGGGAAUUUUGGACAAUGGGCGAAAGCCUGAUCCAGCAAUGCCGCGUGUGUGAAGAAGGCCUUCGGGUUGUAAAGCACUUUUGUCCGGAAAGAAAUCCUUGGCUCUAAUACAGUCGGGGGAUGACGGUACCGGAAGAAUAAGCACCGGCUAACUACGUGCCAGCAGCCGCGGUAAUACGUAGGGUGCAAGCGUUAAUCGGAAUUACUGGGCGUAAAGCGUGCGCAGGCGGUUUGCUAAGACCGAUGUGAAAUCCCCGGGCUCAACCUGGGAACUGCAUUGGUGACUGGCAGGCUAGAGUGUGGCAGAGGGGGGUAGAAUUCCACGUGUAGCAGUGAAAUGCGUAGAGAUGUGGAGGAAUACCGAUGGCGGAGGCAGCCCCCUGGGCCAAUACUGACGCUCAUGCACGAAAGCGUGGGGAGCAAACAGGAUUAGAUACCCUGGUAGUCCACGCCCUAAACGAUGUCAACUAGUUGUUGGGGAUUCAUUUCCUUAGUAACGUAGCUAACGCGUGAAGUUGACCGCCUGGGGAGUACGGUCGCAAGAUUAAAACUUAAAUGAAUUGACGGGGUCAUAGCUGUUUCCU